ensembl:lncRNA
AAAAAAAUUCAACAAAUACCUGGAUGUUCCCCAUGUACCUACACAGCGCCAUUAUCAAAUUUCCUUCUCACAGUCGUACUUGGUAGUACAUUCCAUUUGUCAUGUGUUUAGAGUGGUGUGUGUUGGAUUUUGGUGUUUGAAGGUCAGUAAUGGUGUUUUUUUUCACCAUCAUCUCCUGUAAAAUGUCUUCCACAGAUUCCUUCCUCAAUGAGAAACCCAGAUCUGUCUCAGUGGAUCUCCUCUUUGAAACUUAUGUCUUCAAAGAACCUGAUGUCCAUGCCCUUUCAGCUGACCACAUUCAAGACUGUAACACUGAGCCCAAAGAUACAAAAGAAACCCCUUACCUGGUCAUUGAGCACAGUAGGGAAAAUCUGAGUGAUUCUCAACAAGAACACAAGAGAGGUGGUCUCACCCAGACUGAAGCUGGUAAAUUAUGUUCUUCCAAAGGGCCAGCAGACCACUUUUCAGGUCCUACAGAGCAAUGUAAUGGUGGCAGUAGCUUACAGAGUGAAGGAAGUCAUAGAGAAUUAUGCCAGUUGGAAGCUCCUAAAAUGAACAUUUUAACACCCAAGGCAGCCACGUAUUCCUCAACUUCCUCUUCUUCCUCAUCUUCAGGAACCAACACCAAAUCACACUCUCCUAGAAUGACUCUGCCAAAUGAGAAGAGUCAAGUGUCCCUCCAGGACAGCUCUCUCUCUUGCCUUAUUGAUGCUGUCUCACUAGAGAAUGAGGAUGACACCUGUGGGUCCAUUUCUGUACUGAUUGGCCAAUUUGAGCUCACUGCUGAGCAGAGCUCCCUAAUUCCAUCCAACUCACAACCCAUAAAAUAUUCUCUUCCUCCAUUUGACCUUCCUCGUCUCAACAAUGAACUUUCCAGCACUCCACUAAAAGUUAUCCAAAAAUCUGUGUGCGCAACCUCAGAGCUAACCGAGAGACCUUCUAGUCCUAAAACGACUGAACCUGCAGUCUUUACCAUCUUGGAUGAGGAAGUGCUUUCUCCUGUAUCUACAAACAGUCUUUGUCAAAACAACUUUCAAAAUGACUUGGUUGUUUCUCCUGUGGUCAGCCAGGGAUCCUCACCCAUCAAGAUGCCUUUAGAAUGGUCUGCACAUGGAACUCUAAAGCAAAGCUAUAACAGCCAAUGCCAUUCAACUGGUUCCUGCAGAAAUUUUGAAUUCGGAGGAUAUAGAGAAACCUCAAUCAAUAGCACAGCCUCAGACCGUUUCUUGCUGUGCCAAGACUUUACAAGCAGCAGUCUGAUGGAGGUGGAAAUCAAUGUAGACGAGGAUCCCUUAGACAACACGUUGACCCCUUUGAGUCCUCUUCACGAUUUCAAAAGUGUUCAAAGCUUAAACCAGACCUCCCCCUAUCAUGUUCAAAGACUUGAACCAACCCAUCUCCACAAACUCUCAUACAAUCCCUCUCCUGUUCACUCAUACUCCACGGACACAUCACCCUCUCGCAGACACUACCGGUCUCCACACCAAAGUCUGAACUCUAGCACCUACCUUACUAACAAAUCCCAGACAAGGAAGUUUAACUGUUAUAAUGACUCCGGAAGAUUUACACUUGGUUAUCACAGAAUAGAUACCACAGAAGGUAGGCACCAUGAGACAAGAGACCAGAACAGCUUGGUCAGCAGGGUAGAGCAUUUAAACAAAAGCUCUUUGUCCUCAGAAUGUCUUGCAAAGACUCAAGGCUGUCAACAUUUGUUAAAGAGGGACUUGUACACAUCUGUAUCAGACUACAACAUAAUCACAGAUGAAUCCCAAGACUCUUAUUCCCAGCCAUCUCCACACAAACAGGCCUUUCCUGUACCUCCUCCUCAGAUGUACAAUGGACUCUCUCCAGCUUCAUCCAAGUCCAAGAGCCUGGGAGACCUGACAUCUGAGGACAUUUCAUGUAACUUUCAAAGCAAGUACAAGUCAAUCAGCCGAAGUUUUGUCACUCCUGCAAUGAAAGACCAAAG